CGUACUGAUCCCACAUUGGAUCCUUUCGCUAUUGGAACUGAACCCCAUACUGAUCGUUGAACUGAUUAAUAUUCCAUGUCAGUCAUGGAACAGAUCCUGAUUCCGAGCCCUGACGGCCAAGCAACACGUACCGGACGACAUCGGACGAUGCCAUAAAACGUAGGACCGCAGACAAGAGAUUCGCGUCGGGCCGGGCCGUGUCGGAUCACAGUGGGCCGAUUUUGUAUGAGAUUUGACAGUUGGCUUAAACGGAUUUAUGGCAUCGUCCGAUGUCGUCCGGUACGUGUAGCUUGGCCGUGAUACUACUCCCUUUUAUAUUUCGGAACCUAAAUAGUACCUGAAUCUGACUCACUAAUGGAACCAUACAGUCCAGUUUUCAUAUUUUUAUUUCUUGUUGCAUCGAGGGAUCCCAAGGUACUAUCGUCAACUCGGACAUCUUAACAACAUGUCAAUCACAUGGACCGUCGCCCUAAGAAAGGAUUGACUAUCCAGCUAAGUGAUACUAAGUAUCGAAAACCUGUAUAGAGGCCGGUAUGACCCGUUACUCUUAAAAAAAGGUCAUUUGUUUCAGUUACUUUUUCGUAUGAAUGUUUUCGCUACGUUUUCAUACAUCCGGAUCCAGUUUUUUUACCACUUAUUGGAAAAAAUUACUUACACGUUGUAGAAGACAAUUUUUAGUUAUACUUAAUCCAAAAAUUAGGCCCAUGUAUAGAAAAAUAUUGAAUGACAACUGUUAAUAAUAAUUAACGUUAGAUUCGAUCUGUCGGUGUUAUCUACCGACAGAGCGCGGUACAAACGCGUAGUGUAGGAAGCAUCCGAUACCGAUCGAGCCGAAUAUUCCCGAUCGCUCAAAGGCUCCCGAACGUCCUGGCAAAGGCAAUGACCGAAGGCCACUCCCAAGUAGCAACCGAAGCUUUUUUCUCCCAGUUUCAACCCCCUCAUGUCCAAAAACUGCCUUCGCUUACUAUUCCUAUCCCGUUUCUACAUUCCACAACGUUUGUUGCGUUCUCGCUCAUCAGGGUGUUAGUCAAUUCUCUCUUGCCACACGAAGAGAAUUCUCCUGCACACUUCGUAUGUUGGAUUCUACCCAUCCCUGUUGAACACACGUCAUUUUCUUCCAUCGCACUCAUCAGGGUGUUUGCUCUUUUCCAUCCAAGCCAAAGAGCGACUUCAGUGUGCUCUGAACCGUGGAUGUGAGAGUGUGUGUUUGUGUGCUGCGUGAACUAUUUUUCCUGCGUGAAACACUUUCCAUACUGCGCCAUCCGCGGUGUUCUUUCUGCUUCAUCGGAGGACGAAUUUUUAUCAUCUAAUUGUUUGGUUUCAGAUGUGUGCUGCUACCGCUAGCUGUUCCUAAAACUACUUAAAAAGUGUGACACUGUGUGCACAGGCGUUAGAGUUUCAAUUGAUCCUCAAGCACAAAGCCUUCAUACAACACCGCGGUUGAGGCGCGCCAAAUCUGAUGACAUCUUUCCUGAACCAAGCAGGCUGAACACGCGCACCACCACGGGCUCCAGCGCGGUGUGAAGAGGGAAGAAGAAAAGACAGAAUUGGAAACAGCCGCGCCAGGCUUCCAACCACCGUGUGUGUGUAUGUAAGUAUGUGAGAACACAUGUGUGAAUCUUCUUGUGGGAACUGCAAAAAGAAGAGAAUAAAGAGUGUGAAGCAGCUAGACUGCCGCAACCAAAUCAAGAGAGUGAAUUCUCAUUUCAAUCCGAAAAACUGGGAGAGAGUGAUGACAUGCGAGAGAGAAUAAAACUAGAAACACGAGAGAGGACACGAAGCGCUUUCGGGUUUUUUUUCGCCUUCGCGCACAUUUUGCUUUAUGCGCGCGAAAAAGUGAGCCUUGAUCAGCGCGAUGGCUCCCAUACAAAGGCCUUCGGCUUUGCUAUCUGGGCUCUUUCGCGGUAGCCCGAGUAAAGCGAUUGAUUUUUAGCGUCGCAAUAAAAUAAUAAUAUAGACUGCUUAAGAAAACGCUUGUUUUUAAUACCAAAUACUACUACGGGCGAAAGAAAGAGUGCUGUUGCAAUAGUUUGCAACAACCACGAAAAAACGUUCAAUUAUUAAAUUCAGACUGUAAUUUGUAUCAUUCUUCUCAAUACCUUUCAAAUUACUAAAAACUAAGUCGGCGUUGCGUUUUCUAUAGUCG